rnacentral:ribozyme from 1 species
UUUUUUUUUUUUUUUUUUUUUUUUUUUUUUUAAUAUUGCGAGUUAUUGCUUUGGCAGGUAGGAACAGCUUCCUGCA